UGUCGAACUGAGGAUGGUUGCUGAAAAGAAGGUCUUCCAUCUUGGAAUUUCCCUACCAAUUUCACGUUUCAUGACCUGGAUUUUGUGAGUUAACGCCAUGCUAUAUGGUGAAAGAGGAGCAUGGAUUGGCUUUACAAGCACGUUUUUCAGUUACGUUAGUUGAAGACAUCAAUUUUGUUACCGAAGGUGCUACACAGAAGCAAUUUUUAUAAUCCUUCUCACAAUCUAGGUUCGAUGAGGUCUUUCGAAUGCAUCUGAUGGGCCCCAGUGGUUGCAGAAUCAUCCUUCGGCAGAAGGUAACACUGCCAAUGUGCAAUUGUCAGUCUAAAUUAAAGAUGUUGUGUUAGUGAAUCAUUAGCAUACACACGGAAACAAAAUGAAGUUCAAGAUGAUUUUGAUCUUGUCAUCUCUUACUGAUUGAUCA